ACAAGCUGGGGAGCUAGCGGUGCCCUGUAUCCACAAUCCGCUUUAGUGGAAGCCAUAUUAGAUUUGAGGAUAAUUUUAAUAUUACGCCGUAUAUAAAGGUGUUGAGAAUGUAGUCCUAUUUGGUAGAAAUUAGGCGAACUAUGUCAGGUUGGGAACGAAGCAGCAUUAAGUUUAGAUUUCUAGGUUUAUAGGGUAGCUAGAUUUGAGCUAGAGU
rnacentral:SRP_RNA from 1 species